GAGUUUGAUCGUGGCUCGGGAUGAACGCUGGCGGCGUGCCUAAUACAUGCAAGUCGAGCGAACGGACGAGAAGCUUGCUUCUCUGAUGUUAGCGGCGGACGGGUGAGUAACACGUGGAUAACCUACCUAUAAGACUGGGAUAACUUCGGGAAACCGGAGCUAAUACCGGAUAAUAUUUUGAACCGCAUGGUUCAAAAGUGAAAGACGGUCUUGCUGUCACUUAUAGAUGGAUCCGCGCUGCAUUAGCUAGUUGGUAAGGUAACGGCUUACCAAGGCAACGAUGCAUAGCCGACCUGAGAGGGUGAUCGGCCACACUGGAACUGAGACACGGUCCAGACUCCUACGGGAGGCAGCAGUAGGG
rnacentral:rRNA from 1 species